rnacentral:rRNA from 1 species
GACGAACGCUGGCGGCGUGCUUAACACAUGCAAGUCGAGCGGUAAGGCCUUUCGGGGUACACGUGCGGCGAACGGGUGAGUAACACGUGGGUGAUCUGCCCUGCACUUCGGGAUAAGCCUGGGAAACUGGGUCUAAUACCGGAUAUGACCUCCUAUCGCAUGGUGGGUGGUGGAAAGAUUUAUCGGUGCAGGAUGGGCCCGCGGCCUAUCAGCUUGUUGGUGGGGUAAUGGCCUACCAAGGCGACGACGGGUAGCCGACCUGAGAGGGUGACCGGCCACACUGGGACUGAGACACGGCCCAGACUCCUACGGGAGGCAGCAGUGGGGAAUAUUGCACAAUGGGCGAAAGCCUGAUGCAGCGACGCCGCGUGAGGGAUGACGGCCUUCGGGUUGUAAACCUCUUUCAGCAGGGACGAAGCGCAAGUGACGGUACCUGCAGAAGAAGCACCGGCUAACUACGUG